rnacentral:rRNA from 1 species
CGUAGGGGGCAAGCGUUGUCCGGAUUUAUUGGGCGUAAAGAGCGUGUAGGCGGCCAAGCAGGUCCGCUGUGAAAACUCGAGGCUUAACCUCGAGACGUCGGUGGAAACCGUUUGGCUAGAGUCCGGAAGAGGAGAGUGGAAUUCCCGGUGUAGCGGUGAAAUGCGCAGAUAUCGGGAAGAACACCCGUGGCGAAGGCGGCUCUCUGGGACGGUACUGACGCUGAGACGCGAAAGCGUGGGGAGCGAACAGGAUUAGAUACCCUGGUAGUCCACGCCGUAAACGAUGGGUGCUAGGUGUGGGCGGUGUCGACUCCGUCCGUGCCGAAGCUAACGCAUUAAGCACCCCGCCUGGGGAGUACGGCCGCAAGGCUA